GGAUGAACGCUGGCGGCGUGCCUAAUACAUGCAAGUCGAACGAGGUGCUUUUGUAGCAAUACGAGAGUAUCCUAGUGGCGAACGGGUGAGUAACGCGUUGGUGACCUACCCCAAAGUGCGGGAUAACAGUCCGAAAGGAUUGCUAAUACCGCAUGUGGUUAUUGGAUUUAGAAACUAAUAACUAAAGGAGCAAUUCGCUUUGGGAGGGACCUGCGUCCCAUCAGCUAGUUGGUGAGGUAACGGCCCACCAAGGCUACGACGGGUAGGGGACCUGAGAGGGUGGCCCCCCACAAUGGAACUGAAACACGGUCCAUACACCUACGGGUGGCAGCAGUAGGGAAUAUUGGGCAAUGGGCGAAAGCCUGACCCAGCAACGCCGCGUGUGUGAUGAAGGCCUUCGGGUCGUAAAGCACUUUUCUGGGAGAUGAGAAAGGACAGUAUCCCAGGAAUAAGUCUCGGCUAACUACGUGCCAGCAGCCGCGGUAAAACGUAGGAGGCGAGCGUUAUCCGGAUUCACUGGGCGUAAAGCGCGUGCAGGUGGCGCGGUAAGUUGGGCGUGAAAUCUCCCGGCUCAACUGGGAGAGGUCGUCCAAUACUACCGUGCUUGAGAGCAGAAGAGGAAGAUGGAAUUCCCGGUGUAGUGGUGAAAUGCGUAGAUAUCGGGAGGAACACCAGUGGCGAAGGCGAUCUUCUGGUCUGUUUCUGACACUCAGACGCGACAGCUAGGGUAGUAAACGGGAUUAGAGACCCCGGUAAUCCUAGCCGUAAACGAUGUGAACUUGGCGUUGGUGGGUUAAACUCCAUCAGUGCCGUAGCAAACGCGAUAAGUUCACCGCCUGGGGACUACGGCCGCAAGGUUAAAACUCA
rnacentral:rRNA from 1 species